rnacentral:rRNA from 1 species
UACGUAGGGGGCAAGCGUUGUCCGGAAUCAUUGGGCGUAAAGAGCGUGUAGGCGGCCCGAUAAGUCCGCUGUGAAAGUCCAGGGCUCAACCCUGGAAUGCCGGUGGAUACUGUCGGGCUCGAGUUCGGAAGAGGUGAGUGGAAUUCCUGGUGUAGCGGUGAAAUGCGCAGAUAUCGGGAAGAACACCCGUGGCGAAGGCGGUUCUCUGGGACGGUACUGACGCUGAGACGCGAAAGCGUGGGGAGCGAACAGG